GGGGCGGCGCGUGUUGAAGGGGUUAGGGGGCAGCGAUUGGGGGAGCGAUAGCGAUUGCGGGAGCGGUGUACGUGCGGGGGGCGAAGCGGAGAGCGGUGUUGGCGGGCUGGUGCGGCGGCAAGCUAGAAGGGGAAGAGUGGUCUGCGAGCGGGGCGGCGGCAGGGAAUAGGGGGAAGAGCGGUCGCCGGCUCGUCGUCGAGGCGGGGGCUGCCUGCGGUGGCCGGCUCGCCGUGUAGGUUGGCGGGCUCGUACGGCGGCGAGCCGGGGAAGGGGAAGAGUGGUCUGCCAGCGGGGCGGCAACGGGGAAGAGGGAGAAGAGCGAUCGCCGGCUCGCCGUGGAGGCGACAUCCCCCCGGGCCCGGCCGGCUGGCUCGGCGUCGUCGCGCGGGGGCUGCGGAGCCGGACCCUCUAGGGGAGCUGCGCAACUUCGUCUACCCUAUCUAGGUCACCUUCGACGGCCACCAGCGGAGAAGCGGCCGCAGCUCCUGAUGGCGUAGGAGCUAACAGAUAAGAAAACUGACAACCCGCUGUCUAGAGGCAAGUGCGUCGUCUUGACCAUCCCCCUGUAGGAGUUGACACUGCUCCUCUUGUCGUCCUAGCUUACGUUCCAAGAACUAGGUGUGAAAAGCGGUGUUGGACCUCACCUCCAAGGUAACGUCUCUUUGUCCGUGUUUAAAAAUGUCUCCUCACGUUCGGAAAAGCACUUCUGCAGGUUUAUGUUAGUUAAAUGGGGACACGUUCACGUGGGUUAAACUACAAAAACAGAAUGUUCCACGUCUAAAGAUCGUUGGUAUAUUAAUGCUUUACCAGUCAAUAUCGUCUUGAUCUCAACUUCGAGAGAACUCAUAUAUAGUUUUUCUACAGUUUGGACGUUGUCUACCAAGUCCUCGAUCGGAAUUUCAUAUGUAAACGUCAUUGUCCCAUCAGAGACGACGGGUCAUACUGAUAUAAGGCUUGUUUCUACUAUACGGCUCUGUCUCGACUUCAACUCCUUUGUAAACGUUAGCAAAGAGUCUUAUCAUUUUGGGAAGUUAAACUGUAUGUCACUCCACGUACGGUUAGUUUACUUCCGCCUGCGCUUCUUGUUGUACUGGUUCUUCAUCCGCUCCCAGCUCCGCUCUUUCCUGGUGGCCCAUCGGGCCAGCCGCGCUGUCCACCUCGCGUAGGCCUUCUAGCUGGCGUACAGAAGGGUCAAGGUCACAACGCUGACUAAGGACACGACUUUUGAUUUGUUUUAAGUCUAACGUAGACUAUACGUUGGACUAACUUCUUCGGUGUUCCAGUGUCACGUUCGAAGACCCUGUUUUACAUAUACUUUAAUAAACUUAGUUACAUGACAUCCACAACGAAACGAAACAUCAGACAUGUUAGACUUACCAAAACUGAACUCGAUGUCAUCGUACAAUGUUAAACUUAGUUACCGGACGACUGAUUACAUGAGUCUUGAACCUUAGUAGAAAAGAAAUUCGAAUUACCAUUGAAAUCUUUGUUCUUUUUUUUGUACUCGAUUAUGAUACUAGAAAAUAGAAGUGUAAAUAACCGUGAAUAAAAAACCACAAUAAUAAAAUAGAGUGAUGAAAGACCAACGAAGGAUCGAAAAGAACUUCUUGUUUAUAAUUUAACACUUAAGUAAACUCUGGAACAGUAGAAUAAUAAAAUGAACAUAAACAAUCGGGGGAAACAAUGUGAUGAGACAACGUAGACUAGACUACGUCAGCACCACUGUAAGACUAACCUACUAAGACUAUACAAUCGGAGAAAUCAAUGUGAUGAGAUAAACAAUCGGGGUUCAACUACGACGAAAAAAGUUGACUAGAGUUAAGUCUAUACAACAAGCUUUCUGAGAAAGUCUUGUACUCCAAUAUAGACUACCUCUAAUGUAAGAACCGGGUACUUUUUUCCUUUAAGGUUUAUAAAAUACGAUCCUUUCAAGAUGUUAGAUGUUGUGACUAAUUUUCCGACGAGUUUAACAAACCGUGAAGAACAAAAUUUAAAUCAAAAAAAUGACAACAAGGACACAACUAACCUUAAGGUAACCAAGGUGAUUUCGAAAUACUACGCACUAGUAUUUAACGAGUUCUCUAGUAUGUUCUGGACACCACCAGACGGAUGUGAUCGUACAAUCAUCACGAAUCGUUUUGUACAAGUAUUAAGUAAGAACUGAUAGGAAACUUCAUACGAUGUUAAGAUGUAAUCUAAUAGUACUGUUUAUUAACGUACUAACCGCCAGAACUGAAUCAUAUUCAUUAUGUAGAAAUCCGCCCCUAGACUAAACCUUCCGCCAACACCUUCUUUAUCUUACAGUUAACGUGUUAAAAGAAAAAAAACGAUGUUAAUACAUUAAUAAUACGUAAAAGCCCAAAGUAAAGUAUCCAACCAGAAGUUUCAAAGGCUUGUGUUAAUAGAGAUGUCACAUUCUGGUAGAAGAGAGGAUUUAAAACACUUGAUGACAACCAAAAAAGCACCACUAUGUCAAAGUCUGAACAGUACUUUUAAUAUGCUGAACCUAGUUCACUAUGAAAAGUACACAUUACUAUGAUGGCGUCUUCGUUUUACUAAUUAUCAUGAAUAUACACCCGCACAGGAACAUAUCUUCCUACUACUACCAAAUUUAUUUAACCAAAAUGAUCUUCAUGAAAGGCUUAAUACUUAAUACGUGAAGAGUACUUAAACAACAUCAGUUUCCUUCCUCCACUUCUAUGUCCUCACCCUCUUGACGGUCUUUAGGUUUAAGUUUCGGUUCAACUCCGUACGUCUCCACUUCCGCGCCUGCUUCUUGUAGGACUGGUUCUCCUACAGGUGUAACUCGAUGUUCCACCUCUCCUUCGUACGUUCCCAGCUCCACUCUGCCUUGGCUGCACGUCAGGCCAACCGCGCUGUCCACCUCGCGUAGACCUUCUGGCCGGCACACAGGGCACAUAGGGGCCACGUUGGUUUUAUAGAAAGAUAUGUAUAAGAGUGUAUAUAAACAUAUAAUCAGUCUGCACGUAAACGUGCACGUCCGAAUGAUCAAAAAAAGAAUUACUGUCUCCUCUCUAGAAUGUACUUUUGACACAACAGAACCAUUAUAAAAAAUUGCACCCGUUCAAAAAAAAUCAUUUACUGCACCCACUCUAUUGAAUAGUUCCCGUUACCACCCAUUAAAGAAAUGGAAAAUUAUGUAACCGAUACCAACGGAUUAAUCAAAUUUAACUACCGGUCUACAAAGAUUAAUAACAUCCUAAAAGAUCUGAUUAAGAGAAAAAAAAACAAUAGAGCAAUUCGUAAAAAAUAUAUAUUAUCUAUCUACGUCUUAACAUUUCUUCCUUGUUACACCUUGUUCAAGUAGCAAUUACUAAACACAAGGCACGAUUGUUCGAUACGUAAAGUCGAUUGAGGCAAGCAGAAAACAACAACUUCCUCCGCGUACCUCCUCCUAAUUACGCUGUGAAACCACAUUUCUUCUGACUCCUGCAUGAACGAUGUGUAAAGAAAACCGAUUUCUACUCUGUCCUACAACUCGCAAAAUAACGAGCGACGUGAUGUACAGUUUUUCGAUUCAGUGCUGAGUUAGGAGUACCAAAUAUAUACGGAAACGGACAUGGAUCACAAGGAACCCUCCUAUAUAUAUAUAUAUACCUGAAACAAAAUCCAAAUGGAGCUUGUUUCUUCCCCUCCCUAUCGUAUAAACAACGGUACCUAUCUAAGAGCUUUUACUGUGUGAAAUAUGGUACAGUAUUUUCGCUACCACGACAAUUACAACGACUAAACAAGAAAGUACUUUAAUAAGCAAACGUACCACACAGUUUAUGAUAACAAAAUCUAGCACUAUGAUUUAAAGAAUCGGUUAAAACCUCUACAAAUACCCGAUUCAACCCCCUGAUUUGAUGAAAGAUCAUGAUGAACAGUAGGGGUUUGACUACCUGUUUGACUUCAUCAGUUAUCUUGUAACAGAUGCUACGAAUCCCCACAAAAUUUCUUAUUAUUCUUUUACACCCUCCUUACAAAUGGAGUAUAACUUAAACGAAUAUUAGCAAGUAACGUAAGAUGAUGAUUUUACACGGGAAAACUUUAAUACAUACCAAAGGAUGGAGCACGUGGAUAACUAAAUAACGGAGAAGGUAGAAGCCUCUUCCAAUUUAAACUACGAUUUGUGUACAACUUAACUAGAAUUUUUACGUCAAUUGAUUCCUUUUGUAACUCGCAUACUUACGAUUUAUAUUUGAACGACCUCUACUCCCAUCUUUUGUACAACACAAACGUGGACCUCUAGAACAAUCCAAUGUAAUCGCAUUCCUAUCUAAAGGAUUAAACGCGUUUAGUUUCAAUUACAGUGCACACCUACCAGGAAAAUACCACAACCUCUUUUAUUUACUAUUACGUAUAUUUGAACUCAACGGACGUCUAAAACCCCCAACAGGGUGAAAAUUGUAACGUCUAAACUUCGGAAUAAAACCACUCCUUCUACUCGAAGGCUACUCCUGUUGAAGUAAAGUUCUUCCCCUCCUACUAUUCCUGUAGUUAUGGCAACAAUGUGGGUGUCAGGGACGAUGAUAUGUAUGACCUGGUUAAUGAUCUCGAGCACGUACGGUUAACUUAAUGGUCCAUGAAAGCAAAGAACCAUUACUAAGAUUACAAAUACUCUUAUACUACGACGGAUUUAAUCUAUGUAAACAAAACGAAUGUUUACUUCCCGGAUCGAACCUCUUCCUACUUGUAAUCUCAUUCUUGUUCGUACCUCUACUACCGUACGCGUACCCUUUGUUCUUGCCUCAAUGUUCACUACUAAAGUCCUGAAACUUCGGUGGUAUUACUCACGUACUUCGGAACCUUCUUUAUAUGUUCUACGGUGAAGUAUUUAAAGCAGGUCUCCGAUAAGAUCCACAACGCAGUAGAAUAAUAACCCGGUCCGGGUACAUUAAAGCUUUAUGUAUUCAUAUCCGAUAAAAAUCUCAGGCAUACACACCCCUUUAUUCUCUAUCCCAACCAAAGCCUGGGGAGGGGGUUCCCGGUGCUUUAAGGAGGGAGAAGGAGGUAUAUAUGUCGGGAAUCCCUUGGCAAAUCUGAAACCCAAAACAAAUCUAAUUUUCAAGCGGUAUCGACGUAGAAGCGCAUGAAGUAAACACAAGUUGCUGGUCUGGUUCUGUCGUGUCUUGGGGUAGAACUAGUUAUUUCGAAAGUAGAAUAUAAGCG
rnacentral:rRNA from 1 species